rnacentral:rRNA from 1 species
AGCGAACGCUGGCGGCAGGCUUAACACAUGCAAGUCGAGCGGGCAUCCUUGUGGUGUCAGCGGCAGACGGGUGAGUAACGCGUGGGAACGUGCCCUUCGGUUCGGAAUAACUCAGGGAAACUUGAGCUAAUACCGGAUACGUUCGAGAGCAGAAAGGUUUAUCUGCCGAAGGAUCGGCCCGCGUCUGAUUAGCUGGUUGGUGAGGUUACGGCUCACCAAGGCGACGAUCAGUAGCUGGUCUGAGAGGAUGAUCAGCCACACUGGGACUGAGACACGGCCCAGACUCCUACGGGAGGCAGCAGUGGGGAAUAUUGGACAAUGGGGGCAACCCUGAUCCAGCCAUGCCGCGUGAGUGAUGACGGCCUUAGGGUUGUAAAGCUCUUUUCUCCGGGACGAUAAUGACGGUACCGGAGGAAUAAGCCCCGGCUAACUUCGUG